CAGCCAGACUGGAACUGAGACACGGUCCAGACUCCUACGGGAGGCAGCAGUAAGGAAUCUUCCACAAUGGGGGCAACCCUGAUGGAGCAACGCCGCGUGCAGGAUGAAGGCCCUCGGGUCGUAAACUGCUUUUAUGAGUGAAGAAUAUGACGGUAACUCAUGAAUAAGGGUCGGCUAACUACGUGCCAGCAGCCGCGGUCAUACGUAGGACCCAAGCGUUAUCCGGAGUGACUGGGCGUAAAGAGUUGCGUAGGUGGUCGGUAAAGCAAAUAGUGAAAUCUGGGGGCUCAACCUUUCAGGCUAUUAUUUGAACUCACCGACUCGAGAGCAGCAGAGGUAACUGGAAUUUCUGAAGUAGGGGUAAUAUCCGUAGAUAUCAGAAGGAACACCAAUGGCGUAGGCAGGUUACUGGGCUGUUUCUGACACUGAGGCACGAAAGCGUGGGGAGCGAACCGGAUUAGAUACCCGGGUAGUCCACGCCGUAAACGAUGGAUACUAGCUGUUGGAGGUAUCGACCCCUUCAGUAGCGAAGCUAACGCGUUAAGUAUCCCGCCUGUGGAGUACGGUCGCAAGACUAAAACAUAAAGGAAUUGACGGGGACCCGCACAAGCGGUGGAUUAUGUUCUUUAAUUCGAUGCUAACCGAAGAACCUUACCAGGGUUUGACAUCCCGAGAAUUACUCCGAAAGGAGUGAGUGCUUUAUUGAACUCGGUGACAGAUGUUGCAUGGCCGUCGUCAGCUCGUGUCGUGAGAUGUUUGGUUAAGUCCAUCAACGAGCGCAACCCUUGUGAAUAGUUGUAUUUUUCUAUUCAGACUGCCCCGGCAACGGGGAGGAAGGAGGGGAUGAUGUCAGGUCAGUAUUACUCUUACAUCCUGGGCUAGAAACGUAAUACAAUGGCUGGUACAAUGCGUCGCGAAGCCGCGAGGUGAAGCAAAUCGCACCAAAGCCAGUCCCAGUUCGGAUUGGAGGCUGAAACUCGCCUCCAUGAAGUCGGAAUCGCUAGUAAUCGCAGGUCAGCAAACUGCGGUGAAUACGUUCCCGGGUCUUGUACACACCGCCCGUCAAACCAUGAAAGUGACCAACACCCGAAGUCCGAUUCGUCGGCCUAAGGUGGGGGGCAUGAUUGGGGUUAAGUCGUAACAAGGUAUCCGUAGCGGAAGCUGCGGAUG
rnacentral:rRNA from 1 species